CUUGGUCAUUUAGAGGAAGUAAAAGUCGUAACAAGGUUUCCGUAGGUGAUCCUGCGGAAGGAUCAUUAGUGAACGCCCUCACGGGCUUAUAACUAUUCCAAACCUCUGUGAACCGUGCCCUUCGGGGCUAUUUUACAAACAUGGUGUAAUGAACGUCAUAUAUCAUAACAAAACAAAACUUUCAACAACGGAUCUCUUGGCUCUCGCAUCGAUGAAGAACGCAGCGAAAUGCGAUAAGUAAUGUGAAUUGCAGAAUUCAGUGAAUCAUCGAAUCUUUGAACGCACCUUGCGCCCUCUGGUAUUCCGGAGGGCAUGCCUGUUUGAGUGUCAUGUAGACUCAAUCCCUCGGGUUUCCGAGGAGAUUGGACUUGGGUGUUGCCGCUCUGCCGGCUCGCCUUAAAAGACUUAGCGGGAUAGCACCGUAGUCGGCGUAAUAAGUUUCGUCGGUGAAGGUUGUGAUGACUGCUUACAAUCGCCCUCGGGCAAUUUUUGACUCUGACCUCAAAUCAGGUAGGACUACCCGCUGAACUUAAGCAUAUCAAUAAGCGGAGGA
rnacentral:rRNA from 1 species